rnacentral:lncRNA from 1 species
CUGCCUUUGGCAUGUCCCUGCCACCUUGUCACUCCUUUUCCAGGUGCAGCCAGUUAGCAUGCAGGUGGGGAUGUGGGUGGGGGACAGCACCAUCACUGGAUUAACUGCCCCAUUUUACAGAUGGGAAAAUAAGCCCGAGGGAGGAAGAGGUUCACAGACUGGUGCCUCUCGUGCUCCAUUUUUCCUGAAGCAGAGGGAAGGAGGUCACUGAGAGUCACAAAGCGUGGGGCGCUGCAGUUGGAGGCACAGUCCCUGUCCCCAGGUGGACUUGACCUUCUGUGGCUGUGUCUGUGGCCUGCUUCAGAGAAGGCUUGGUGAUGCGAGAACAAUGAAACCAUUCGCCAAGACGGUCGCAGUCGAGGAGAGUGGCUGGGCUGCUGGGCCGUGAGCCAGCAGUGUGAGCUGUGCGUUUCCAUCGUGGCUCCGUCUGGAGAGCUGCUCAGAAACGCGCAGGCAGAGGGCCCACCCACGGCGCAAGUGGGGUGCGUAGGUAUCCUGAGGCCGGGCUGCCCCGCUGUGCACCUCAUCUCGUUGCCUGUCUCUGGGGACCGUUUGACCUGGCCCUCAGGGCAGGGACUUCCUCCUUCUUAGCAGGGUCCAGUGCUGCCUCCCAUCUGUCACCCAUGCUAACAGUGGCCCCAGCCGAGGGGACACACGCACCCAGCUCGUGUCCCUCUUCCCAGCCAGCCUUCUUUGUCUUGAACACUGGUGAUCAUCACUGGUCACGGUCUCAGUCUACCAGGCUGGAGCAUCUCCUCAGGCCAGCCUGUGCUUGGGCGCAGGCCCCCGGAUAGGGACCCACACUGGCUAUUCAUACCCUCUGUGUUAGUGUUAGUCACUUUCCCUUCCCCUGGGAUAAAAUACUUGACACCCAAAAUUUAAAAGAGGAGGUGUUUAUUUGGCUCACGGUUUCAGAGGUCCAGUGCAUAGUAGGCUGGCUCCAAGGCAGAAACAGCAUGGUAGAAGGGCCUGGGUGCAGGAAACCUGGUCACAUCAUGGUGGCCAGGAGGCAGAGAGAGAAGGGAGGAGCUGAGGACAAGAACAGACCCUUCCAGGUUAUGGGCCUGGUGACCUGACCUACCCCUCCCCCAGGCCCCACCUCCUGACAGCAUAGAACUCUUCCGUGGAUGAACACAGCGCCCCUGUGAUCCAGUCACCUCCAAAAGCCCCACCUCUGCACAUGGGAGACUUUGGGGGGAUAUUUUAGAUCUAAAUUAUACCACAACGGUCUUUGCUGUCACCAUCUCUGCUCCCCACCAUGUGGUUUGCCUGCUUCUAGACUCGUGAAGCCCAGGGCUUUGUCUCUUGUACUACUGCCACAGGGACAGUCAAGACACAGGCUAAGGUACUAUUUCUUGCAUGGAAGGAUAGCCAAACAAAAGUCCUGAGACCUUGUCCUCAGGGAGCUCUUUGGCAGAUAGGCCCUGAAGGCUCCAGAGGAAUCGGGGUGGGCGUUCCCAGAUGUGAAAGAUGACCAUGGGCCAGAGUGGCCAAGGAAGGCUGCUCGGAGGAGGGGGCAUUUAAGAGAAGCACUGGGGAUGGAGAGCUUUGGCUACUGCAGGGCAGGGAAGAGGAGGAGGAAGGAUAUGCUGGGCGGUGGAUGGGCAGGAAGAGAGGAAGGGGUGCGUGUGGAGGUUCAGGGGCAGGUCAGCCAGCGCCAGGGACUUCAAGGGAGUAAUGGUGGAGACGUCUACAGGGAUGGUCGGGACCCAAGGGAAGGCAGGGUUGGAGGGAACUUAUCCUGCAGAUGCAGAUUGUGCUGAACAGGAGGGUAGGGACAGAGCAGUGUUUUAGGAGAUUAGUCUGGUGACAGGGAGCUGCCAGGAUUGGAGGAGACUGGAGCCCGGCUAAUUACACAGGCCUGGGACUCCCCUCACGUACCCUCAGUACCAACCUGUCCCCUGCAGUGGUGGGGAGGGCUGGGGUGGCUCCUGCUCCUCCCAGCCUGUUCACACCAAGGAGGGAGGAGGCAGCAGAGGACUUUGAAGGUGGGGCUGGGUGCUGGCUCGGCAGCCUUGUCCUCAACUGCAAAGUAGGGAGAUCCAGCGGCACCCUCACCCCAUCCUGGCCCAGCUGAGGAGCAAAUGAAGCCCAAGGAGGGGACGUGCCCUGUGUGCUGACAUUCUGGAUUUCAUCCCUCCUAGAAAGUCUGGCCAUGCUGGUGUGGCCCAUAGGUGGGCUCUGGCUUGCCCAGGUUCUCUCAGUUGGAGCCCAUUUGGGGAUCUGAGAUUUGUAACCAAGCUGUGUGGCCGCAAGCAGCAACCUCCGUUUUCCAGGCCUCAGUGUUCGGCUCUGUGUAUGGGCGCACCCCAAAACUCCUGCUCCUGCCCCAUGGCUCACAGGGAGUGUGUGCUGGGCUCGGUGCUAGGAGAGCGAGAGGUAGGCCUGGGUGUGGCUAGGGGCGUCCUCUGUGGGCAGGGCCGCGAUCGCCUGGCAGGACUGUCCUCAUGACAGUGUUACAACGCUGGCUUGUAAGCCUUGGGGCCAAAGCCGAGAGGUUCCACUGCGCGCCUCUGGCUCUCUGGUAACUUCUAGGGUCAUUUUGCAUUUACUGGUGUGUCCUGUGUGCCGCCCCCUUGCUGGUCUCCUUGGUAACUCACCCUUAUCAGAUCCCUGUCUGUGCCCCCUCUGAGCGACACUCAGGUCCCAGCACAAGCUGCAGGCAGCCUCCAGGUAACUUGCUUUUCGGUAAGAUGGGGUUUGGGGUUUUUUAAAAACAGAUUUCGUUUCUCUGAUAACAGAGCCCUUGAGAGAGUGAGGAGACAGCACCGGAAACAGUACCCACACCGCUGUUUCAAUAUGAAGCAGGCGGUUGAGGGGCUGAGUUGGCAGCCAAUAGGGGAGAGGCCACUCAGUGGGGAAACUGAGACUCAGAGAGCAAAAGGGACUGUUUCUGAAGCUGCCCAGAAAGAGACUGGAUGGGUGCAGGAAUUAUUUUAUUUUUCCUAACCACUGCCACUGCCACUGCCACUACCACAUGCAGGAGACUUGUUAUGCUUCUUAAAGGGUGACAAGCAACUUGUGUGCAAAUUAUCUCGUUUAAUUUACCAGUGAACCCUGAGAGGCAGGGACUGUUUGCAUCUCCCCUUGACACCCCUUGUGCAUGGUUCUGGUGACAGGUGAUCACUAGACCAUGCAACAGUAGACUGUUGGUGGCAGGAUUUGAACUCAGGCCUCCCACUGUCCUUGGUCACCCUGCUGUGCCCCAGUCCCUGGGCUGCCCAAUGCAGCAGCGGGACAUCUUCCUCUUUCUAGAAGGUGUGGGUGCAGAGGAUCUUCUGUAUUGGGGAGAUAAAGGAGCCCGUUUGGGAUGAUUUUUAUCAGCUCUAGCAAGCUGGUUUGACUUACAGGAAAAAGCCGAUUUGCAUUUGGGGAGAAGCUGCAUGUUAAGGCUGCGGUGAGCACCGGGCGGAUUUAUAAAUAAACAGUGGGCUAAGGGCAUUGUCUGUCCCCAGCCAUACAAUGCUGGCCUCAUAUUGACACCACAGCCUGUUCCGCACGUCAUGGCUGCCCUUUGGGCAGAAAGGCAUGCUUGAGUAAGAGAAGCCACUGGAAAUGCCAAGGAGCCCAGCCUCCGACCCAGUGUCCUGGGCAUCCCAAGCCCCAGCAAGUGCAGAGCUGCUGGUGAUGACAAAGGGACAUUCGAGGCCUGGGGCCUCCUGUAGACCCUGAGGGAGCCCUUGACUGGGUCUGGGAGUCUGGAUCUGGUACUGAGCCCAGUCUGAGCCCACAUGCCGCCCCAGCAGGCUUCCUGGCUCCUGAGGCCUUGAUCUUUGGCUCUGAAGUGAGUCCUUCUCUCCUCCCAGUCUCCUUUGAGAAUCUAGUGAGAUGAAGGCAACAGGAGAUGGACCAGGUGUCCCUGCCCUGCCAGCACAGUGGGUGACUCUGGACAAGUCCAGGGCCUCUCUGGGCCUCACUGGGCCUCACUGUCCUCUUUAGAAGGCAAUGAAGCUGCAUGCUGGUCAGAAGUCCAGGACCUGUGGGGGCUGCUCCUGCACCUGGGGGGACCCUGAGAGGUCUGUUCCUGAACACUGGGGACCCCAGGAGUACUGCUUACACUCCUUCCUCGGCAUACAGGUACUCCCUCCAGCCUGGAUUCAUAUCCCUUGUCUUCCAUCCUGGCACCUCAGGCAUCCGAGGUCCACUCUCAGCACUCCCUCUUUAUGGGUGUAGUCGGAACAAUUGGGGUGGUUAGGAGGAUGAAAUAUAGUAAUGUAUGGUUAGUGCUCAGCAUAAAGCCGGCCCCAUGGUGAAUGUUCAUAAAUAAAUUAUGUCAGUAAUAUUUAUUUCAGGGGGAAAAAACCUGUUUUCAAGGCAGAGCACUAUCUACUAAGUUGAAUAUUCUCCUGAUUUAAUUCCAGGUGGUACUAAAUAACAAUAAUAGCCAUCACGCCCAUGGCUGGAAGGCUGCCCCAUGAGGCCAACGCUUAGCCCCACAGGCCUCCUGACGGUGGCCCUCCUGGUGCCCAGCUGACCUCCCUGUGUAGUUAAUCAUGGUUUUGUCUCUUAUCUGGCUGCUCUGAGGAUAGACGUGAAGUAUCACCUGUCCCUCCGUGCGCCUGGCCAUCACCUCAGGCCUGGGAUGCCUUAACUAGUGCCACCUUGAGGCAGCCCCCCCAUACCCAUUCACCCAAAGACCCCCCUAGACCCCUGCAUGCCCAGGUACCACAAAUCUUUCCUCCUCCGAGGCCUGUCCUCAUUCUAGGUUUCUCUUGGGUCUCUGUCUUGGGGUUGCUGUCUGGUGUCCCGGAACCGAAGUCACCAUGGUCAGUGAGGACCAUUAGCAGAGAGCAGCAUUAAAGGCCCUUUGGGUGUCCUGCUCCUGGGGACUUAGGGAUACCUCUCCUUGGUCCUGAACCUAAAGGCCCGAGAGACAGGUGCUCCCCCCAUCACCUCUAACACCUGUUUAGUGGUAGAGGCGAUCAGGCAAAACAUAAAGCACUCAUGUGUUUUGCUUAAUGUGGGGCUGGGAUUUGAACCUGGCUCCUGACCUGACCAAAAGCCCACAGCUACCUGCUCCCACCUGCUGCCUCCAUGGACUCCUGGGGAAAGUGGAAUGUGGAACAGGUCCGUAGGGAGGGCCAGCAAGUCCCUAGGGGUGAGUGCUUUCGAAGGGAGCCGGGCGUGGGAGGUUUCUCAGACCUCCGGGAGUGCAGCCGGGGCUGGAAGAGGUCCCGGGGCUUGGGAACCAGCAGCCAUCUUCAGCCAGACCCUACCCACUCUCAACAGGGACCUGGCAGGGGCCAGCACCCUCCUAGGCUCUUGGGUCAGAACAGAGACCAGAGCAGACAAGAUCCCUGUCUGCAGGAGUCAAAGGGAGAAGUUCCUUUAGCCAACUGGGACCCUUCUAUAGAUUUGCCAAGUGCUCAGAAAGAAGCUAGGUGCUGGAUGGGAAAUUCCAGGAGGUGGGCGGGGAGCCUUUAUAUAAGGAAAGCUUUUCCAAGAGGGGGCCACUUGAUGAUGGAGGUAGGAAGGGGACAGCAUUGCCAGGGCCAAGAAACUGAAAGCAGGCCUGGGUGGCUGGGGACAAAGGGCCAGGGACACAGCAGCUGGGGACGAAGUAGACCCCACGCACACCCUUCAACUUCACUUGGCCCCAGAAACAACAGUGCUGCCAGGCCUGCACCGGAUGCGGCCCAGGUCCAGACAUGGCCAGCACUGCUGGUGGGUUCCACGUGGGGCCUGCUCCCUGCCCAGACAGGGGCACAUGACAAUGACAUCAUGGCUAUUUCUGCCUGCCGCUGGCCCCCUCCCAUCUUGGUAGCAUGAAUGGGAGGCCUGGGUCAGCUCUUGCUCUGCUUUGCUGAAUACCACCUCCUACUCCUGUGUCACUGAGGGCAGAAGCUAAUGCCAAGGGGCACAAGGGCCAUUGCCUCAGGAUCUCCAGAUAAGUGCAGGUUCCCAGCCUGGGGUCACCCUGGCCCAUACCCUUUAUUUAUUUACUCUGGUCCUUGCUCAGAGCCCAGAAGCGAGCUGCCUGGAAUGAAAUGUGAAGAACUCGAAAUGAUAAUGAAAUCAAUUGGACUGUUUCCCCAGUAAUUCUAGAGACUGACGCAUCAUUAAUGUUGGUAAUACAGAGCCUGUCAGAUCACAAACUUCUCAAUAAAUGUGCAGCUGGCAAGCUCUGAUAGAAAUUGGAGGCAAGCAGAGAAUGAGAUUUGGGGCCUUUGAUAUAUGGGGUGUCAGUGGCAUGGUGAAGUUUUUAUCAAUUUCUGUCACUUUGGGCUUUUGUGCUCACUACAUAUGUGGUCUCCGUAGCACCUCUUAGAGGCUGCCUGGAUGCUAACUGCACCCCCACCCAAUAGUGUAAGGAAGAGGAGCUGGUGGGGGGCCUUGACAUGCACCCUCACCCUUCUGUGGGGCCCCUUCCCACGAGCUUCUCAGGCCCGUGAGCCAGAGGGCUUGAACCUGAGACGCCUGUGGGUGUUGCAGCCACUCCACAGCCUUGAGUCUGUCCCUGUGAAUUAAAGACACCCCUAGGCCCCAUCCAGGGUACGCCAGCUGCCUGGAUGGAAGCCUAGGGUUUGGGAGUGUAGGGGUGGUUUCUCGGCCAUUCCUCCCAAUGGAUCAAGAGUCAGGG